UGGGGAAUAUUGCACAAUGGGCGCAAGCCUGAUGCAGCCAUGCCGCGUGUAUGAAGAAGGCCUUCGGUUGUAAAGUACUUUCAGCGAAGAGGAAGGCGUUGUGGUUAAUAACCGCAGCGAUUGACGUUACUCGCAGAAGAAGCACCGGCUAACUCCGUGCCAAGCAGCCGCGGUAAUACGGAGGGUGCAAGCGUUAAUCGGAAUUACUGGGCGUAAAGCGCACGCAGGCGGUCUUGUCAAGUCGGAUGUGAAAUCCCCGGGCUCAACCUGGGAACUGCAUCCGAAACUGGCAGGCUAGAGUCUUGUAGAGGGGGUAGAAUUCCAGGUGUAGCGGUGAAAUUGCGUAGAGAUCUGGAGGAAAUACCGGUGGCGAAGGCGGCCCCCUGGACAAAGACUGACGCUCAGGUGCGAAAGCGUGGGGGCAAAACA
rnacentral:rRNA from 1 species